GGGGAAGGAGAAUUGCAUGUGAUUUUUCUGAUUGGCUUAGGUUUCAGCCCCAGCAAGCAAGUAGUAAACAAAUCUAAAAAUAUUCUUUUAAAAUUUAAGCACAUUGGUUGGCCUAUCAUGAUCAUACGCCCUAAAAUAUAUACAUGGAUUAAAGACAAAAGGAGGAAGAAAUACAACCAAUCCAAAAUAGAACAAAUAAGGGGAAAGAAAAAAGAAGAGGAAGAAGAAAGAAAGAGAACACUCUACAUCAAAAUGGGUGAUUUCAUCUGCUUUAUCAAUUUGAACAGUUUCAUUGCAUGGCUCAUAUCUCAUUUCUAUGGUGCAGAAAAAGGUUAUGAAAAUAAUACUGCAACAAACGUAUUAAACUUUUGUGGCGCAUUACCUGAGAGGACACCAGGAAGACCAUGUUUCUCAGCUUCUUUAAUUGGUGACUGAAGGAGACCCGUGAGUC
rnacentral:misc_RNA from 1 species